CGGAGCAUAGUUCAGAUGGCUAGAACACACGGUUCGGAACCGUGAGGUCGUGGGUUCGAGUCCCACUGCUCCGA
rnacentral:tRNA from 1 species